UGCAGAGGUUAUUGGAUCUGAUGGAUCCGUU
rnacentral:sRNA from 1 species